AUGAACGCUGGCGGCGUGGAUAAGGCAUGCAAGUCAAGGGGACCGCAAGGUAACCGGCAGACGAGGUAGUAAUACGCAGGAACGCACCCGAAAGUCGAGGAUAGCUCGCCGAAAGGCGGGGUAACCCCCGAUGUGAUGGAAACAUCAAAAAUUUAUUGCUUUCGGAGCGGCCUACGGGCUAUCAGCUUGUUGGUAGGGUAAUGGCCUACCAAGGCGAUGACGGCUAGGGGAGCUGAGAGGCUGACCCCCACCGAUGGUACUGAGAUACGGACCAUACACCUACGGGUGGCUGCAGUCGAGAAUCUUCCGCAAUGGGCGAAAGCCUGACGGAGCGACGCCGCGUGAUGGAUGAAGUCCCUCUGGGACGUAAACAUCUUUUAUGAGCCACUAAGUUUAUUGAAGAGCUCAUGAAUAAGGGGUUGCUAAACUCGU
rnacentral:rRNA from 1 species